rnacentral:RNase_P_RNA from 1 species
UCCGGGGGAAGCUCACCGCCGAGGCCACCCACGGGGUGCCCGUCACCCACGCCCCGCCUCGGGGAAGGUCUGAGAGAAGGGCCGCCCGCGGCUCUAGCAGAGCUCCGCCCGCGAGGGGCGGGUGAGCCACCAGCAAGGGGGGGCGCCGCGCAUCAUGGGCCGGCCUGGGCAGGAGAAGCCGUAGCUGGUUCCCGGCGGGGGCGGCGGGGCUUUAAAACCCUCGCUCUCCUGCUCGCGGAACCCCGGCGGAUGCUCGUGGCCCCGCGGUGCUUUGAGACAGACUCACGGCCAGCAAUAGUUGAGUCCAAUGGGUGAGGUGGGGUAUCGCCCUAUAACCCAAUUCAGACUACUCUCCCCCGGA